GAUGAACGCUGGCGGCGUGCCUAAUACAUGCAAGUCGAGCGAACAGACGAGGAGCUUGCUCCUCUGACGUUAGCGGCGGACGGGUGAGUAACACGUGGAUAACCUACCUAUAAGACUGGGAUAACUUCGGGAAACCGGUGCUAAUACCGGAUAACAUGUUGAACCGCAUGGUUCAACAGUGAAAGACGGUCUUGCUGUCACUUAUAGAUGGAUCCGCGCCGCAUUAGCUAGUUGGUAAGGUAACGGCUUACCAAGGCAACGAUGCGUAGCCGACCUGAGAGGGUGAUCGGCCACACUGGAACUGAGACACGGUCCAGACUCCUACGGGAGGCAGCAGUAGGGAAUCUUCCGCAAUGGGCGAAAUCCUGACGGAGCAACGCCGCGUGAGUGAAGAAGGUCUUCGGAUCGUAAAACUCUGUUAUUAGGGAAGAACAAAUGUGUAAGUAACUAUGCACGUCUUGACGGUACCUAAUCAGAAAGCCACGGCUAACUACGUG
rnacentral:rRNA from 1 species